UCUCUCCCUCCCGGCAUCCUUCCUCGCCGGCCGGCGAGCACGCUCGGAGAGGGAAAAAGGCGCCGGCCGGCGAGGGUGGCGACGACGGCCGCUGGGCGCCGCCCGUUGCGCGCCUCUUCGGCGGGCUGCGACCGCCCGUCGCCGUCGAGCCCCAGUGCCCCACCCACGGCGCCCCGCCAUUGCCGGCCUCCCUGCCUGUCCCCCGUUCGACCCAUGCAGCGAGCCGCGCCACAUAUGACCUUGAAGAUCUCUCUCUCAUGCAUAGCGCAGUACACACACGAUCUCACCACACUAGUACUAGCUACGUUGAGAGUGUAGUAGGAUGAGCCAGCAAGGGAUCUGGUAUGGCGACGUGUUCCCGUUGACCAGAAGCCUCGCGGCCAAGCCCAUCGUGCCGUGGGACGCGGCGACGAUGCAGUCGGCGGAGAACCUCGUGUUGGGGAAGACGGUCAAGGGCGGCCCGGCCGCCGCCAUGGAGUCCGCGACGAGUCGUAACGAGGAGAUGGGCGUCAUCGGUCAUGACCAGUCCACGGACGCCACCGCUGAGCAUGGCGUCAACAUCUCCGAUACCCUCGUCCCCGGCGGCGGCCGCAUCGUCACUGAGUUCGUCCCGGCCAGGUAAUCACACUGUUGCAUGAACACAGUUCGUCGUUGCCGUCUCUCCGAUUGUUCGAGCAGGAUGAUGGCGCCGCCGCCCUCCGACUCCCGCAACCCUAGCUCCGCGUCGCAGACCGCCGAAGAAGUGCGCAGUGGGCGGCGGCCAGCUGCCGUCUCCGCCCCACUUGCCGGCCGGCGCCUUUUUCCCUCUCCGUGGGCGCUCACCGGCCGGCGAGGAACGAUGCCAGGAGGGAGAGAGAGGAGGCGCUGGUCGCUCCCUCUCCCAGUCUCUCGUCGUCCAAUCGUUCGUGGAUAGUGAGGAUGGUGGGACCCACUGACAGUGACACGUCACCGCCAUGUAGGACGCAAACCGGCCACGUAGAUGCCACAUCGGCCAAAACCACCGUCAAAACCGCUGAGGGACCUGCUUUGCACCGGUUUUGAUAGUUGAGGGAUCCGUUGUAUCUGGUUUUUUGGUUGAAGGACGAAAAUCGAAUUCGUUGACAAGUUAAGGGACCUCAAGUGAACUUAUUCCCUCCAGUUUCAACGUUUUAUAUGGGCCAGACCAAACAGAUCGGCCUAUGAGUAAUCAAACAUCGCCAUCUCCCUGCACUAACCCCCGGAGGCCCGGACGUCCCAAACAUCAGCGCUUCGAUUUCGCAGGGGUAACCCUGGGGUCAACUCUGCUGUCAUGCUAUUGCUACCUCCUGCAUGUUAUGUCGAACAACCUGAUCUUUCCAUUGUGGAGCGCCACGACAUGUACUAUCGAGCAACAACUGAAAGAUGUUGACACCAACGUAGUGAACAGUACGCAUCACCAUCUCAUUUCCCGACACAUUUUGGCAGACAGAUCCCUAAUGCGAUCAUGCGGAAAAUAAACUAAUCGUUUCUUGGAUC